rnacentral:tRNA from 1 species
GCCUGGGUGAUGGAAAUGAUUAACCUGCUUGGCUGUUAACCAAAAGGUUGGGGUUCAAGUCCACCCAAAGGCG